rnacentral:RNase_P_RNA from 1 species
GGUAGAUAGACAAUCGCUAGACAUUCUUUCGAGAAAGGUCUAGAGGAAAGUCCGAGCUCCACUCGGUAGGAUGCCCGUUAACGGCGGGGCGGGGUGACCCGACGGAAAGUGCCACAGAAAUAUACCGCUGUAAAUCAGUAAGGGUGAAAAGGUGAGGUAAGAGCUCACCGCAUGGGCGGCAACGCGCAUGGUCCAGGUAAACCCCAUCCGGAGCAAGGCCUAAUAGAGGUUAUCGGUUUCCGAGACGGACCUGGGUUGGCUGCUUGACCCUCUCGGCAACGUGGGGGCUAGAUAGAUGAUUGUCAUUCCAAAAAACGGAACACAGAACUCGGCUUAUAAUUUACCUC